rnacentral:sRNA from 1 species
UUCCGGAGACUCAACAUGAAGCUGCUGGCCAGGGUUUUGUUUACUCUGGGGUCCCGGCUGCCCUGUGGCCUCGCUCCUCCGCGGUCUGAAAAAUGAGUAAAGAUGGAAGCCAAAGUAUCACUUUUAUUGUGGUUUGUGAGAGGAAGCUGGGCCCAUCAGCUGGAUCUCCCGAAGUAGGCAGACUUACAUAACUCUGAGGAGGGCAGAACAUUGCCCUCUGAAGGCAGCUGGAUCCCAAGAGGAAGAAGACCAAGGAGGACUGUUCAUACCCAACGAUCCUGUCAAAAUUUACCAGUCUGUGUUGCUAUAAAGGAAUACCUGAGGCUGGGUAAUUUAUAAAGAAAAGGGUUUGUUUGGCUCAUGAUUCUGAUGCCUGGACAAGUUCAAGACUGGGCAUCUGCAUCUGGUGACGGCCUAAGGCUGCUUGCACUUGUGGCAGAAGUUAUGGGACAAAAAUAUUAUAUCAAAACACUGAAGCUU